rnacentral:lncRNA from 1 species
AAAUUUUUUUUUUCUGAAAACCUAACCCCAGAGUAUGCAAGAUCCGCCACAAAUACAGGAGAUCCACUGUUCACACGGACAGAGUCUCCCCUGUAUUUGCACGACGUCGCACAAGUACAAGAAUACAACUAGGAUACAACCACAACUAGAUGAAUAUAAAGAUCACUAUACAUUCAUACAUUCACCAUUCACAUCACAGUUUUACAUUCAAUGUUUAAACAGAAAUCCACGAAAAAUCUUUUUGAAAACUGUUUCCUACACGGAAACCUUUAUUCUUUAAAAACGCUACCACGAGGGGUAGAAAACCUUUUAUUUUACAAAAUUCAGAAAUCCUUUUAUUACAUUCAUGAAAAUCCACAUAUUCAAAUGUAAUAAAAAUACUGAACCAUAUAAACUAUCUAUGCUAUAUAUCAACAGAAAUAAAAAGGGUAAGAGCUAAACCGAACAACCUGGGUCGGAAGAUCUAUCGACCGCUACGUACGUGUCUCACGUCUCGUCUCAACCCUCACCGCCCGCGAUACCUGAAAAAUAGUGGGGGAGGUGAGAACAUGUAAACAUGUCUCCCCUCCCAGUGGGUACUGCAAGCCGAAGAAGGCGAGGAGUACUCACCGGAUGAGGAAGAGCUAUAUAACAACACGGGUCAGUGGGAAUACAGUAGGAACAAUAGUAAACGAAAGAGAUGUAUAAGGUAAUAAGCAGAUAUACUAAAUACAGUAGCAAUAAACUGAAAGAAAGUAGGAACUAGACUGAAUAACGGCUACCGCUACUGUAACUGGAACAGA